rnacentral:rRNA from 1 species
CGCGCGUGGAGGAUGAAAGCCUUCGGGCUGUAAACUCCUUUUCUCAGGGAGGAAUAAUGACAGUACCUGGGGAAUAAGUCACGGCUAAACUACGUGC